GAUGAACGCUCGCUACAGGCUUAACACAUGCAAGUCGCGGGGCAGCAUGGGGGUUGCUUGCAAUCCCCGAUGGCGACCGGCGCACGGGUGAGUAACGCGUAUUCAACCUGCCCUUCACCACGGGAUAACCCGGCGAAAGUCGGACUAAUACCGUAUGUUGUCCAUUGACGGCAUCCGAUUUGGACGAAAGGCUUGGCGGUGAGGGAUGGGGAUGCGUCCGAUUAGCCAGACGGCGGGGUAACGGCCCACCGUGGCUACGAUCGGUAGGGGUUCUGAGAGGAAGGUCCCCCACACUGGAACUGAGACACGGUCCAGACUCCUACGGGAGGCAGCAGUGAGGAAUAGUGGUCAAUGGGCGUAAGCCUGAACCAGCCAAGUAGCGUGCAGGAUGACGGCCCUAUGGGUUGUAAACUGCUUUUAUGCGGGGAUAAAGUGGCCCACGUGUGGGCUUUUGCAGGUACCGCAUGAAUAAGGACCGGCUAAUUCCGUG
rnacentral:rRNA from 1 species